rnacentral:misc_RNA from 1 species
UCUAUGCCGAUUCACUGCUUUAAGCGUAUAGAGCUCAAAGUGCAUCCAAAAGGUGGGAGGGUUAUAACCCACAAAACCACCCCCUGGUUACGCCUAUGUCAUCUCAUCAAGUUUCGCGUUUCGUCCCAUUAAGUUUACACCGUCUCUGUUUGAGUAAAUCUCUUGCAGUGGAAUGGAAAAACAACAAUAAAACUCUUCAGUACCGCUGCAGACAGAGUAAAAUGUGCCAUGCUAAUCGCCAAUGUCCUUACAGGAUGAGGCACAUGAAGAAGAAGAUGUCCUUACCGAGCUGAAGUUAGCAGUAUUCUUUUAUGUCAAUGUCAAUAUGUCUAUAUGUCUAUGUCAGUCAAGUCAAAGUCAAAGUGUCAAAGUUUGUUAUGUUUAGAGGUUGAAUUAAAAUUUAUUGUUAACAUCAAAGUACACAAACUAACUAUCUUCAAACAUGUCAAACUUGGAGCCUAACCAAGGCAAAUAUGAAUAAACUAGCCACAACAGAAAGAGCUAUGGAAAGAGCAAUGUUAGGUAUACGACUGUCAGAUAAAAAGAGGAACGACUGGGUAAGAUCAAAAACAAAAGUCGAGGACAUAACAACAAAAGUUGCCAAACUUAAAUGGAGCUUCGCAGGCCACACUGUUAGACAAAAAGACCAACGUUGGAAUGCAACGAUACAACAUUGGAGACCUUACCAAAGUAAACUACCGAAAGGAAGACCACAGAUAAAGUGGGUUGAAGAUAUUAAAAGAGUAGCCGGAACAAAUUGGAAAUAUGUUGCUCAGGAAAUAUAUUGGAAAUAGGUAUAUUGGAAAUUUAGCUUAUAAUAACCAAUAAGAUUUUAAAAUAUUUUAUUGUUGUCAAAAUAAACGAUUUUUCUUCAGAGUUUUGAUAUUUUACUUUUUCACUAAAACUGUUUCGAAUAAGAAGCCCAAAUCAUCAUAAUCAUCUUUGCUCUUAGGCCUAUACGGGAUCGAAUUCAACAAUUGAACUUCUUCAUAGGUGUCUAUUUUAGGUCAUACCAAUAUUGUCUCCUUCAAUGACAUGUAAUGUCUGAUUGUCCACCACAUCUUUUUGGGUGUUCCUUUCUUCCUUAUUCCUGGGACCUGAUAUUUAGCGACUUUUCGAGUUGGGUGAUUCUCAUUUCGACGUGAAACUUGCCCUAACCAUCUCAAUCUAUGCUCUCUCAUUUUUGCACUGAUAGGUACUACGACUAAACUUUCCCUAAUAUAUUUAUUUUUGAUUCUAUCCUUUCUUGUUACUCCGCUCAUCCACCUUAGCAUUCCCAUUUCAGCCACAGGCUACAAUUGUUCUUCUUUCUUUUUGAUUGCCCAGCAUUCAGUGCCACACAUCAUAGCUGGUCUUGUAAAAUUUACCUUUUAGUUUUAUAGGAAUUUUUCUGCCGCACAAUACACCACCCACUCCUUCCAUUUCAUCCAGCCAGCUCUUACUCUACUACAGCCAUCUCCAUCUAUCUCCCCUUUGCUCUGCAGUACAGAUCCUAAAUAGUUAAACCUACCACGUUUUACAAUAGACCCAUUGUCCAGGGUUACCAUCCUAUUUGGAUUUAAAACUUCAUCUUUAAAUGGACAUUCCCAACACUCCGUUUUUGACCUACUUAAUUUUAAAACUUUUCCUUCCAGACACUGUCUCCAUUGCUCCAGUCUUAUUGCUAUUUCCUUUUCAGUAUCCCCUGUCAACACCACAUCCUCUGCAAACAUUAAAUACCAAGGAAUGUCUCCUUGGCACUCUUUUAUCUCAACUCGUACCAAUGAAAAUGGAUAUGGACUAAGCACCGAGCCCUGAUGUAAUCCUACCUUCACAUGAAACUUAUGAGUCUCUCCUACCCCGGUUCUAACUCUAGUUAGAAAAAGUUAAAAUGGUGAGAAUAAAUUAUUCAAAUAAGAAGUCCAAAUGUUUACACUAUUUGAAGUAUUCUGUUAUACAAACUAAAAAUUCAGCAGCAUAGUAAAGUAUCAAACAAAUAUCUGAAUUCAUUAAGUUUACUUUCAUUUAAAUCACCUAAUGUACCUAACAUAAACGACAUUUUUUAAAUUGUUACUAUUUACGUCCACUGAAAACUUUAACAUGGAGAAAUUCAUACUACUAUAUGUGCUUACUCAUUAUUUUUUCGUAUUAUUAAUCUAUAUCAAAUAAAUAAUUACAGUACGAUAAAUAAUAUAUUAUAUUAUCAGAACCAGAAUCACAUUGGUAAAUUCUUACGUAUAGGGAAAAAUCGUACGGUGGGGUAGUAGUCACAUCCGUUUAUUUUCAGUAUCAACUUGUUUAGACGUUGUUUUGACUAGAAAUUUUUGAUUUGAUUCGUAUGCAUAUCAUCGAUGACGCAUGGGUAUUCUUUAAUUUUUCCGAGAGUAUUUUUCGAUACUGUUAUUGUUAACACAAAAACGAUCUCAUUUAUUAUGGGGUACACGAGUAUUUACUAAGUAAUAUUAUUCUUUGUUUACCAAGUAGUACAAUCACAAGAAUUAUAUGUUUAUAUUGUGAGUCCCAAUAACAUCAAUAUUUUCCAGAAUCUCUCUGUUGUGAAAUAUAUUUUUAAAUUUUGUUUUGCUUUGUUCAAACUAUGGCAUUUUUGAUUACAUAAUAACAAAAUUUUGAUUAAAUAAUUUUGGUGCUGAAUAAGCUGAAUGCACUAAUUAUCUUUGUGUUCAUGUGCAAUGUCAAAGUUUAAUGUAAAAGACGUAAGUAAAGAAUUUUUAUUGUUAAUUUCCACUUUCAUCGCCUUCAAAUCCAUAUAUAGAACGAACACAUUGUAGUAACACUUGUUGAAAAAUACAAAUAGUAAGUAAAUAGCUCAGGAAAUGUAGGAAGCGUAUAGGAAAAUACAUUCAGGACCAGGAACUCUUUAAUGACGAUAGCAGAUAACAAAAAUGAUCUUGACCAAGAACUUGAAAUAUUAGCUCGUACAUAAUAUCCAAGAUCUGCUUUUCCAAGAAUUAGGAAACUAAUUACAAACUCCUCCUUAUUUCUGGAUGUUCUAUAUCGAUUUGUAAAAACGUACUUCUAUUCAGUAUUUUUAUACUGAGUGAAAAUAUGGACCCUUAGAAUUAACGUAUAUCAGAACAACAUAAUAAAA